CAGCAGCCGCGGGAAUACGUAGGUGGCAAGCGUUGUCCGGAAUUAUUGGGCGUAAAGGGCUCGCAGGCGGUUUCUUAAGUCUGAUGUGAAAGCCCCCGGCUCAACCGGGGAGGGUCAUUGGAAACUGGGAAACUUGAGUGCAGAAGAGGAGAGUGGAAUUCCACGUGUAGCGGUGAAAUGCGUAGAGAUGUGGAGGAACACCAGUGGCGAAGGCGACUCUCUGGUCUGUAACUGACGUUGAGGAGCGAAAGCGUGGGGAGCGAACAGGAUUAGAUACCCCAGUAGUCCCUGUCUCUUAUAC
rnacentral:rRNA from 1 species